CCCACGACUAGACGUCAGAGUGUGAUGACCAGAAGAGCACCGCCGGUGCUAACAGAAAGCAUGCAACUGGGAUGUUAUCUCGUAUUGUGCCUGUGCGCCUCGGCCGUUAUCUGCAAGCCACGCAGGCACCGCAGGCCUCAUGGAAACCGAGAUUACCAACUCGCCAGCGCGCACAACGACUUGGUGCUCCGUGAAGCACGCUGCAGAGAACCUCAACCCAGGACAAUCUGUGUGGAUGAGGUCUACCGUAGCGGGAACAAGAGGUAUCUCCCACACUGUACCAUCCUGCAUCGCUGCGCGCCUGACACUGGGUGCUGUGCUACCAAAGAAGAACACUGUCAGCCCAAAAGCAUCCAGGUAGUGGAAAGGCCCUUCAUGGUCCUUGAACUAGACAUCAGUGGCACUCUUCAGACGACAGUCGAAAAGCUUGACUUCGACAACCACACAGAAUGCGAGUGCAGGUUCAAGAAUGACGCCAUUCGAUGAAGCCCCAUUCUCUAGAGCACAACCAAUCGAAACAAUGUCAGGCCUCGCCCAGGCGGCCAUCUUGAGACUUGCGCUACAACGUUCAACCAUCUGCACCGCAUCCCGAAUGUGAUGCUGCCUGUUGCGCCAUCGUACAAUCUGUACAGAACUGCAUUCCAGACUAUAUCAACUUUAAUGGACACAUUCUUAUUUAUUCCGAUCGUAUUUCGCAGGCUAGCUGUUGACUGUGACCUUGCGCGUGGGUCUGACUUGUUUGACUUUAUCCAAGGUAGUGCUGAGUACCCUACUUCCAGUGACUGCUGACCAGCUAUGCCUAAAUAGCGUUAGUUGGCGUAGUGCACAUCGAGCAAAAGCUUGCACUGCGCUGUGCGAGCUUGGAUGAUCCACCGUCGUCUCCCUGACAUGCAGAUGGACCAACUAGUCAUUUACUUGAUCUGUCACCUUUGACAUUCAUCCGUUGUUCCUCAUAUAUUUAUUUUCAUAAUUAAAAUCUGCUCAACCUGA